CUUCGCAAUAUCCGCAUUAUAACGUGCUUGAAAAUGCCUAAAAUAGCGAAGUUUUGCGAAGAUUCUGCAUCGGUCUUGCAAAGCUUGCAAAGUGGAAUGCAAUGAAAAAGACGUUCAUGGGCGUGCGGCUAAAGCGGCUUCGCGAAGAGCGCCGCCUGACGCAGGCGGCAUUGGCGGUGAAGCUCGGUAUUUCACUGAGCUAUCUCAACCAAUUGGAGAACAAUCAGCGGCCGUUGACGCUGCCGG
rnacentral:misc_RNA from 1 species